rnacentral:rRNA from 1 species
AUUGAACGCUGGCGGCAGGCCUAACACAUGCAAGUCGAACGGUAGCACAGAGAGCUUGCUCUCGGGUGACGAGUGGCGGACGGGUGAGUAAUGUCUGGGAAACUGCCUGAUGGAGGGGGAUAACUACUGGAAACGGUAGCUAAUACCGCAUAACGUCGCAAGACCAAAGAGGGGGGACCCUUCGGGCCGUCUUGCCAUCAGAUGUGCCCAGAUGGGAUUAGCUAGUAGGG